GAUGAACGCUAGCGGGAGGCCUAACACAUGCAAGCCGAGCGGUAGAAAUCUUUCGAGAUUUUGAGAGCGGCGUACGGGUGCGGAACACGUGUGCAACCUGCCUUUAUCAGGGGGAUAGCCUUUCGAAAGGAAGAUUAAUACCCCAUAAUAUAUUGAGUGGCAUCACUUGAUAUUGAAAACUCCGGUGGAUAGAGAUGGGCACGCACAAGAUUAGAUAGUUGGUAGGGUAACGGCCUACCAAGCCAAUGAUCUUUAGGGGGCCUGAGAGGGUGAUCCCCCACACUGGGACUGAGACACGGACCAGAAUCCUACGGGAGGCAGCAGUGGGGGAUAUUGGACAAUGGGUUAGCGCCUGAUCCAGCCAUCCCGCGUGAAGGACGACUGCCCUAUGGGUUGUAAACUUCUUUUGUACAGGGAUAAACCUACUCUCGUGAGAGUAGCUGAAGGUACUGUACGAAUAAGCACCGGCUAACUCCGUGCCAGCCGCCGCAGUAAUAC
rnacentral:rRNA from 1 species